CUUCUCUCUCAAUGGUUCUCUUCUCGUUGAUUUUGAUCGCAGUCCAGAGGAUCUGUUGUUUCAUCCACAGCUUUUUCUGCGAUUCAAAGGUGAAUAAUCUACCUGUUUUGCUGAAGUUAAUAACUUCAUCGGGAGUAUCUUCGAUCCUGACAGCAAAGGCCGCAUGAAAAAGCUCAAGGAAAUGGAUCCUAUAAAUUUCGAAACUGUACUGAUAUUGAUGAGAAACCUCACAGUGAAUAUGUCAAAUCCUGAUUUCGAACCUUCUUCUGAUGUUGCAGAGGAAGGUUCAGAACACUUAAGCUCUUAGCUCUUGUAUGGGAUCUUUGGCCAAGAACCAAACAAGUGAUAUAUCUUUCUUGAUGGGCUUCUUGCUCACAACAACUGUGUAUAUCAACUGAUAUAUAUAUAUAUAUAUAUAUAUAUUUAUUUAUUUGUUCAUGCGUUUUGUAAUUUGUAGUUUUCUUUAUUGGUUAUUUCUUGUCAUAUAUUGAAACCAAAGGCAAUGUAUCAGCUAGCAAAUGCCACUAAAUUCAUAAAGAGACACAUGAGUCUGUUUGUAUCUUAUUAAAAGUCCUACCAAUAAUCAACUCUUUUGUGAUUGUC